UACGGAGGGUGCGAGCGUUAAUCGGAAUUACUGGGCGUAAAGAGUGCGUAGGUGGUUAAUUAAGUUAUCUGUGAAAUCCCUGGGCUUAACCUGGGCAGGUCAGAUGAUACUGAUUGACUCGAGUAUGGGAGAGGGUAGUGGAAUUUCCGGUGUAGCGGUGAAAUGCGUAGAGAUCGGAAAGGAACACCAGUGGCAAGGACGG
rnacentral:rRNA from 1 species